rnacentral:rRNA from 1 species
CCUACGGGGUGCAGCAGUCGAGAAUCAUUCACAAUGGGGGAAACCCUGAUGGAGCGACGCCGCGUGGGGGAAUGAAGGUCUUCGGAUUGUAAACCCCUGUCAUGUGGGAGCAAAUUAAAAAGAUAGUACCACAAGAGGAAGAGACGGCUAACUCUGUGCCAGCAGCCGCGGUAAUACAGAGGUCUCAAGCGUUGUUCGGAAUCACUGGACGUAAAGGGUGCGUAGGCUGUUUCGUAAGUCGUGUGUGAAAGGCGCGGGCUCAACCCGCGGACGGCACAUGAUACUGCGGAACUAGAGUAAUGGAGGGGGAACCGGAAUUCUCGGUGUAGCAGUGAAAUGCGUAGAUAUCGAGAGGAACACUCGUGGCGAAGGCGGGUUCCUGGACAUUAACUGACGCUGAGGCACGAAGGCCAGGGGAGCGAAAGGGAUUAGAUACCCCUGUAGUC